AUGUAUACUUGUGCCAUGUUGCUGUGCCUCUAUCAAAUCUUACAUAUGUAUACUUGUGCCUUGUUGGUGUGCUGCACCCAUCAACUCGUCAUUUACAUCAGGUAUAACUCCCAAUGCAAUCCCUCCCCCCUCCCCCCUCCCCAUGAUAGGCCCCGGUGUGUGAUGUUCCCCUUCCCGAGUCCAAGUGAUCUCAUUGUUCAGUUCCCACCUAUGAGUGAGAACAUGCGGUGUUUGGUUUUCUGUUCUUGUGAUAGUUUGCUAAGAAUGAUGGAUUCCAGCUGCAUCCAUGUCCCUACAAAGGACACAAACUCAUCCUUUUUUAUGGCUGCAUAGUAUUCCAUGGUGUAUAUGUGCCACAUUUUCUUAAUCCAAUCUGUCACUGAUGGACAUUUGGGUUGAUUCCAAGUCUUUGCUAUUGUGAAUAGUGCUGCAAUAAACAUACGUGUGCAUGUGUCUUUAUAGCAGCAUAAUUUAUAAUCCUUUGGGUAUAUACCCAGUAAUGGGAUGGCUGGGUCAUAUGGUACAUCUAGUUCUAGAUCCUUGAGGAAUCGCCAUACUGUUUUCCAUAAUGGUUGAACUAGUUUACAAUCCCACCAACAGUGUAAAAGUGUUCCUAUUUCUCCACAUCCUCUCCAGCACCUGUUGUUUCCUGACUUUUUAAUGAUUGCCAUUCUAACUGGUGUGAGAUGGUAUCUCAUUGUGGUUUUGAUUUGCAUUUCUCUGAUGGCCAGUGAUGAUGAGCAUUUUUUCAUGUGUUUGUUGGCUGUACCAUUCAGGACAUAGGCAUGGGCAAAGACUUCAUGUCUAAAACACCAAAAGCAACGGCAGCAAAAGCCAAAAUUGACAAAUGGGAUCUCAUUAAACUAAAGAGCUUCUGCACAGCAAAAGAAACUACCAUCAGAGUGAACAGGCAACCUACAGAAUGGGAGAAAAUUUUUGCAAUCUACUCAUCUGACAAAGGGCUAAUAUCCAGAACCUACAAAGAACUCAAACAAAUUUACAAGAAAAAAACAAACAACCCCAUCAAAAAGUGGGCAAAGGAUAUGAAUAGACAUUUCCAGCUUGUAUCUUGAUAUCCCAGGACUAUGUCCCAUU
rnacentral:lncRNA from 1 species